GAUGAACGCUGGCGGCGUGCCUAAUACAUGCAAGUCGAGCGAACAGACGAGGAGCUUGCUCCUCUGACGUUAGCGGCGGACGGGUGAGUAACACGUGGAUAACCUACCUAUAAGACUGGGAUAACUUCGGGAAACCGGAGCUAAUACCGGAUAAUAUAUUGAACCGCAUGGUUCAAUAGUGAAAGACGGUUUUGCUGUCACUUAUAGAUGGAUCCGCGCCGCAUUAGCUAGUUGGUAAGGUAACGGCUUACCAAGGCAACGAUGCGUAGCCGACCUGAGAGGCGGAUAGUCGACGCUGGAGAUGAGUCAGGGUCAAUACUCUGACGCCAGUCAGCGGUAUCUGACGACCAGCAACGAGUGAAUGCCGGACGGGUCAAAGCCGAGUGAGUGAGGAGGGAUAUCGGAGCGUAAAUAACUGUUAUUAGGGAAGAACAUGUGUGUAAGUAACUGUGAACGUCUUGACGGUACCUGAUCAGGAAUCCACGGCUAACUACGUG
rnacentral:rRNA from 1 species